rnacentral:ncRNA from 1 species
UGACCCCAGCUCAAGAGAGAACACCCGCUACGUUUAAUCAUAUAAUUAAGUGGAGGAAAAGAAACUCACAAGGUUUCCCCUAGUAAUUGUUAGCGAACCGGGAAGAGACCAGCAUGAAAAUCGGGUGGCAACGCCACCUAAAUUGUAUUCUGUAUAAGCAUCCUUAGUGGGGAACUGGGCCCAAGUCCCCUGGAAGGGGGCGCUUGAGAGGGUGACAUCCGCGUCGGGUCGGGACCUUGCUGCACCAUGAGGCGUUGUCGGUGAGUUGGGUUGUUUGGGAAUGCAGCCCUAAUCAGGUGGUCAAUUUCGUUCAAGGCUAAAUACAGGUGACAGACCGAUAGCGAACAAGUACCGCAAGGGAAAGAUGAAAAGGAAUUUGAAAAUAGAGUUAAAGAGUUCUUUAAAUUGUCGGGAGGGAAGCGUAUGGAGGUCGGCGAUGCAUCUCGGUCGGAUGUGGAACAGCUCAAGUUGGUUCGCUUCUCGACUUGAGGUGUGAACCAGCACAUGAUGUUGCAUCGGCACAAGUGCGGGUGGAGUAUUGCUUGUUGGUUUGUCGUUGUGGUGGUCGAGGAGAAGAGAAAUCAAGGGAUUCCACCAACACUCAUUUAAAUUUAUUUUUAAUCGCUUGCCAAUACUUCUUUUAGUUUGUUGAUAUUGAGCUUGCACAUGAGGUAGUUUAUAUCUAUGAGGAUUUAGGAUCAAUUUUUCAAGCCUGAAUUUGAUGUGUAAAUAUUUAUGAAGGUAUUGGAUCCCUUAAUGACUCCUUAGUACUAUUGACAAGUUGAAUAUGUUUUGAAAUCACCAAGCAACCAUGUAGGAAACUCAAUGUUGCAUAGAAUAAGAGUUUAAUUUUUUUUAUGAGUUUAAAAGUUAGUAAUUGAACCUUCAUCAUUGAAGUAAGAAAAGAAAAGUGUCAAUUUUUUUGUAUAUUUGGAUAAUUUAGCCAAGAAAUCACUUAUUCAGUGAGGUUACUCAUUGUCCAAACCAACCGAUUGAGGUUAUUGACCCUUGCACUCAACAAAUUUCC